rnacentral:rRNA from 1 species
GCAAGUCGAGGGGUAACAGGAAAGCUUGCUUUUGCUGACGACCGGCGCACGGGUGCGUAACGCGUAUGCAACCUACCUCAUACUGGAGGAUAGCCCUUGGAAACGAUGAUUAAUACUCCAUGGUAUCAUGAAUUCGCAUGUUUUUAUGAUUAAAGUUUUUCGGUAUGAGAUGGGCAUGCGUCCCAUGAGCUAGGGGGUGAGGUAACGGCUCACCAAGGCGACGAUGGGUAGGGGGCCUGAGAGGGGGAGC